rnacentral:snRNA from 1 species
AUUGCUUCUUGGCCUUUUGGCUAAGAUCAAGUGUAGUGCAAGAUUGUCCCUUUUGUACGUACUAAAUAUAUUCAUAAAGCCAGCCCAGCUUUAAGGGGAAAUAGAGAGAUCCAAUUUUAUUGUACUUAACAUAUUCAGGAUUGCAACUUUC